GCCCUGGUGGUAUAGCCAGGAUAGCAUCGGCGGCUGUCGCCCGCCGGACCCGGGUUCAAAUCCCGGCCAGGGCGCCA
rnacentral:tRNA from 1 species